UACGUAGGGUGCGAGCGUUAAUCGGAAUUACUGGGCGUAAAGCGUGCGUAGGCGGUUCGUUAAGUUCGUCGUGAAAGCCCCGGGCUCAACCUGGGAAUGGCGAUGGAAACUGGCGGGCUGGAGUAUGGCAGAGGGGGGUGGAAUUCCGCGUGUAGCGGUGAAAUGCGUAGAUAUCUGGAGGAACACCGGUGGCGAAGGCGGCAUCCUGGACCGACACUGACGCUGAGGCGCGAAAGCUAGGGGAGCAAACGGG
rnacentral:rRNA from 1 species